GACGGAGGGUGCAAGCGUUGUUCGGAUUGACUGGGCGUAAAGGGCGUGUAGGCGGUCGGUUAAGUCUGGUGUGAAAGCCCGGGGCUCAGCUCCGGAAGUGCAUCGGAAACUAGCUGGCUGGAGCGCGAUAGAGGAGGGCGGAAUUCCUGGUGUAGCGGUGAAAUGCGUAGAUAUCAGGAGGAACACCGGCGGCGAAGGCGGCCCUCUGGAUCGUUGCUGACGCUGAGACGCGAAAGCGUGGGGAGCAAACAGG
rnacentral:rRNA from 1 species